GUAGGGCGGGACACGUGGUAUCCUGUCUGAAUAUGGGGGGACCAUCCUCCAAGGCUAAAUACUCCUGACUGACCGAUAGUGAACCAGUACCGUGAGGGAAAGGCGAAAAGAACCCCGGCGAGGGGAGUGAAAAAGAACCUGAAACCGUGUACGUACAAGCAGUGGGAGCACGCUUAGGCGUGUGACUGCGUACCUUUUGUAUAAUGGGUCAGCGACUUAUAUUCUGUAGCAAGGUUAACCGAAUAGGGGAGCCGAAGGGAAACCGAGUCUUAACUGGGCGUUAAGUUGCAGGGUAUAGACCCGAAACCCGGUGAUCUAGCCAUGGGCAGGUUGAAGGUUGGGUAACACUAACUGGAGGACCGAACCGACUAAUGUUGAAAAAUUAGCGGAUGACUUGUGGCUGGGGGUGAAAGGCCAAUCAAACCGGGAGAUAGCUGGUUCUCCCCGAAAGCUAUUUAGGUAGCGCCUCGUGAAUUCAUCUCCGGGGGUAGAGCACUGUUUCGGCAAGGGGGUCAUCCCGACUUACCAACCCGAUGCAAACUGCGAAUACCGGAGAAUGUUAUCACGGGAGACACACGGCGGGUGCUAACGUCCGUCGUGAAGAGGGAAACAACCCAGACCGCCAGCUAAGGUCCCAAAGUCAUGGUUAAGUGGGAAACGAUGUGGGAAGGCCCAGACAGCCAGGAUGUUGGCUUAGAAGCAGCCAUCAUUUAAAGAAAGCGUAAUAGCUCACUGGUCGAGUCGGCCUGCGCGGAAGAUGUAACGGGGCUAAACCAUGCACCGAAGCUGCGGCAGCGACGCUUAUGCGUUGUUGGGUAGGGGAGCGUUCUGUAAGCCUGUGAAGGUGUGCUGUGAGGCAUGCUGGAGGUAUCAGAAGUGCGAAUGCUGACAUAAGUAACGAUAAAGCGGGUGAAAAGCCCGCUCGCCGGAAGACCAAGGGUUCCUGUCCAACGUUAAUCGGGGCAGGGUGAGUCGACCCCUAAGGCGAGGCCGAAAGGCGUAGUCGAUGGGAAACAGGUUAAUAUUCCUGUACUUGGUGUUACUGCGAAGGGGGGACGGAGAAGGCUAUGUUGGCCGGGCGACGGUUGUCCCGGUUUAAGCGUGUAGGCUGGUUUUCCAGGCAAAUCCGGAAAAUCAAGGCUGAGGCGUGAUGACGAGGCACUACGGUGCUGAAGCAACAAAUGCCCUGCUUCCAGGAAAAGCCUCUAAGCAUCAGGUAACAUCAAAUCGUACCCCAAACCGACACAGGUGGUCAGGUAGAGAAUACCAAGGCGCUUGAGAGAACUCGGGUGAAGGAACUAGGCAAAAUGGUGCCGUAACUUCGGGAGAAGGCACGCUGAUAUGUAGGUGAAGUCCCUCGCGGAUGGAGCUGAAAUCAGUCGAAGAUACCAGCUGGCUGCAACUGUUUAUUAAAAACACAGCACUGUGCAAACACGAAAGUGGACGUAUACGGUGUGACGCCUGCCCGGUGCCGGAAGGUUAAUUGAUGGGGUUAGCGCAAGCGAAGCUCUUGAUCGAAGCCCCGGUAAACGGCGGCCGUAACUAUAACGGUCCUAAGGUAGCGAAAUUCCUUGUCGGGUAAGUUCCGACCUGCACGAAUGGCGUAAUGAUGGCCAGGCUGUCUCCACCCGAGACUCAGUGAAAUUGAACUCGCUGUGAAGAUGCAGUGUACCCGCGGCAAGACGGAAAGACCCCGUGAACCUUUACUAUAGCUUGACACUGAACAUUGAGCCUUGAUGUGUAGGAUAGGUGGGAGGCUUGGAAGUGUGGACGCCAGUCUGCAUGGAGCCGACCUUGAAAUACCACCCUUUAAUGUUUGAUGUUCUAACGUUGACCCGUAAUCCGGGUUGCGGACAGUGUCUGGUGGGUAGUUUGACUGGGGCGGUCUCCUCCUAAAGAGUAACGGAGGAGCACGAAGGUUGGCUAAUCCUGGUCGGACAUCAGGAGGUUAGUGCAAUGGCAUAAGCCAGCUUGACUGCGAGCGUGACGGCGCGAGCAGGUGCGAAAGCAGGUCAUAGUGAUCCGGUGGUUCUGAAUGGAAGGGCCAUCGCUCAACGGAUAAAAGGUACUCCGGGGAUAACAGGCUGAUACCGCCCAAGAGUUCAUAUCGACGGCGGUGUUUGGCACCUCGAUGUCGGCUCAUCACAUCCUGGGGCUGAAGUAGGUCCCAAGGGUAUGGCUGUUCGCCAUUUAAAGUGGUACGCGAGCUGGGUUUAGAACGUCGUGAGACAGUUCGGUCCCUAUCUGCCGUGGGCGCUGGAGAACUGAGGGGGGCUGCUCCUAGUACGAGAGGACCGGAGUGGACGCAUCACUGGUGUUCGGGUUGUCAUGCCAAUGGCACUGCCCGGUAGCUAAAUGCGGAAGAGAUAAGUGCUGAAAGCAUCUAAGCACGAAACUUGCC
rnacentral:rRNA from 1 species